UUUCCAAUGUCAUGUUUACCGUUCUCAAGCAGCGCAGUGUGCUGUUUUAGGGGUGUUACAACAGAAGAUUGCCUAAGACAUUUUAUCAAAACAAAGUUGUGAUCUUUAUUUUUCUUUCUUAUCUAAAGAAGUGCAGUUUACCUGAAUUUCUGGCUGUAGCGCCAGUUUGUUUUUGUUGCAUAUGUCAAGUGUCUUUAAAAACAAAAAACACAUUGUGCUGAGUUCUAAUGGGAAAUCGCACACGGAACGUCGUUUUAAAAAGCUUCUCGCUAUGUUGUUAGUGAGCAUGGAAAUGGUUUAUUAGAUAGACUUUAUUAUUUGAUGGUAAAAGUUCUAGGUGAGGAUUUCACACAGGACGGUGCUGCCUGUGUGACGUUUGCUCUCUAUGAUCCUUAAUCGGUGAUUUUGUUGGGCUGAAGGCAACAGUCAACUGAAGCGAUCUUCCGGAACAGUAUAGGAUCUCAUUGAAAAUUGAUAUUGACCUGUGUAAAUUCGACGGUACAGUUGAAGCCAAUAUAAAGAUUUAUAUUGUUCGAAUUACAGCACAUCCCGAAUAUUAAAAAGGAAGUCAAGUAAAAAAUAUCCUCGAACAUAUUGAGAACCUCGCUAUCCGGUGGUAAAAUAUGGAAAACAUGUAACGGCUUUUUUAACGAAGUGCAUUAAAAGUGCAAAUAGGCAGCCUACUGAGAGACCACAUUACUGCGGUGUUGCAGUACUGUAUCAAAUAUUAAUUAGCGGAUUUUAGAGACUCGUAUUUAUCUAUAAAAUUUUUUAGUAGUCUCUACCUGGUUUCAGUCAUUACUGGCAACCAAAGCAAGCUUAUCCACUGGAGUAUCUCGAAGCAGUGACAGUUCUUCCAUUCCAAUUAAUUUAAAUACAUAAACAUAAAUAAAAAAAAAUAAACAUGAUAGAUGACGAAAGCAACAAAACCUGAAAAUAACUAGGAGCAGAGUUAAGGUUUUUUUUCUAACUUUAAUCCUGAAUAAAAUUUUUUCUCAUUAAAGGACUAAUUUUUCAGAUAAGCCUAUGUAUCUGUAUUAAGUGUAUGUAUAAGCUUUCAGCCGCCGGCAUUACUUGUGUUUAACUAUUACAUUACAACAGUAUAUAAAGGUUCUUCGUAAGACUAACAGUAUUGACAUUAAGGCACAGUCCAAAAUCUGAGUGUCCGAUUCCGAUUGAUAUAAGGUUUGUAAUCUGAUUUAGUUUUAUACUACAGAAAGGCAUUUCUCGUAUGCGUAUGCUUGAGGCUCACCAUUCGCAUGGACUAAAGUAUCUUAUAGGCAGAUUGUUCUACAGUUCUACCUUAAUUUUUCGGGUGAAGGUAUAUAUAGAUGUAUUUAAUUAUGUGUCUCUGUAAAUAUCAUAAUAUUCAAGUUGUGAAUAGAAUAAUUCUCUUAUACAAACGUUUUGUGAUUUAUUUUACGCUGUUCGACUUCACAAGUACAGAGAAUGGGUACACUCGAAGGAAAACAAAAUUUGACGAUGUGCUCUAUACAAAUUAUCUGUAGCUCGAAUAUGAAUUAUCUAAAAAGGAUAGGUCACUUAUUUAUAUCUUGGGCAAUUUUUAGUUGAACACGCGUGCGGUGUUCGUAGCAGGUUUAACUGGAUUUUUUCUGAACAUUUUCAGCCAAAAGUACAUUAAAUAUUUUCAGAAUUUACGCUGUAAUACUGAGUACUCAAAAAAAAUAUAAUGUGGUUUAACAGUAUGUUUAUAAGUGCUAAUGUUACGAUAGUUAGGCAUGUGAUACGAAAUAAAAUGGAUAAGAAAAAAGGCAAGACAACCUACAGAAUAUCCUUCGAUUAUAAUUUAUCGGUGGGUUUGCAUCGAGCAAUCGUCGUCUUCAAACGAUGACUGGCUUUCGGUCGAGCUUUGCAUGAACAAAAAGAAGUCCGCCCGGCUGGAAUCGGGUCAGAAGAUCUAGUGACGUAAUUAACGUCGGCAAAGAGAGUUGUAGCUAGAAAAUCACUUGUACACUCGCAUGCAGCGCUCUGAGCUCAAGAGCUAUAAGACCUCGCUACUAAAUAAAUCGGUCCCCAUAUAAUUUCACGUGCACGCAGAACUCUACGUGAAUCAUUAAUACAAAACGUUCGUGUGCCUUACUUCAUGAUUGCCAUGGUACCAUUUUUUCUGUAUCUGUUCAAAGCUACACCGAACCGUCGUUCGGAUAACUGGCUGUCACCGUGUGGUGCUCAGUCACGCAUAUUUAUUGGAAUUCUGAAUGAAUAUAGAAAUAUGAUCGGCGCUCGUUAUGCAAUAUUUUAUUUGGGUGGCCAAUAAAAACUUGAAAAGUUGUGAACAGUGUGGCAACAAGUUGGCUUAUUGCCGUUUUAUCAAAAUCACGUUUGUUAUGUCGAAGAAAGGGGGCAAGACUGCAGUGGCAGAGGCGCAGUACGUACGAUACAGUAAAAUUAUCCUCGGUACAGAAAACACUGUUCGGGAUUAACAUGAGCGUCGUUUCUGUUUAAACAUAUGUGUAAGCAUUAUUAACGAGCUCAGUCUAAACUGUUGCCUUGGAUCUAUAAAUUUUAAACCUUAUUGCUGCAACAGUUAGGCAAUGUUGUGAUACAGGCAAGGUGCUACGGAACAACGGUUUUUGAAGAGAAUCAAUGCAAUUCUAGUGUCUUUGAAGCAUGUUUUCCUAAAGGUGGCCCGAGAUUCAGGAGGGAUCGCUACAAAUGUCCGUUGUUGGUCGCCAUGGUCGAAAGUUGACACAAGUAAUUCCCUCUAAUUUCGCAAGGUUCAUAAGGGUCACAGCAAAGUUGACUUUGAACCCUUGCCUGUAUGCUUUUUCACGUCUCGUGGCCACUGAACGAAAAAGCGCUGUUGCACCGACUACAACGCUUCAUUUGGCCAGGAUGAGGAUUUCAAACAUACCAAACUUCUUAGAUGAGUUAUAUAUUGCAGUAUACACAAUAUGAUAGCGACCUGCAUGAAUUUUCGUUAACAGAAGGACAGUGUACCGUGUAUUACUUAGUACGUUCAAGAGCCAUCAAGAUCUAGAUUUCUGAGCCUGAUUUCUCUGUAACAAAAUAUUGUAGACAUAGUACCUUAAAUUUUUCUACCAAAUAGAGGUAUGUUUCUAAAAGCUUAGUUAAAUCCAAUUUAAGUCUUAUUAUUCCGUUUAAUACUAACUACCAUUAAGGCGAUAAUCUUGUUUUGACCUACGUUAUACAAUCCCACAUUCUGUCUACUAAACAGACCGAAAAAAACAGAUGAAAUGACCAAAAAAUUUAAAGCAAACUUUUUUUACACUACAUUGAAGUGUAGAUGAGAAAUCGAAGUGGAUUUUACGUAACAGAAA